rnacentral:lncRNA from 13 species
GUUAUUUAAAACAAUUAUAUCAGAGAUGAAAUGGCCAAUCAACUAUAAGAGGAAUUACUAAUUGAUGAUUCCCUUACCAUUCUCUCUGUUGGGCUUUGUAGGGUUGAAGUUCUUCCACCCAGUCAUACUCUGCCCCAAAAUCUACUCUAUGGCAAUUAGAUACUGCUCGUUGGAAAGAAAGAAAUACAGGGAGAAAUGUGACUCAGGUGGAGAUUUUCUACCAACUUUGGAUUACUAUCUUGGGAGGAGGUGGGUGGGUUCUUCUCUGGUAAUAAGAAGGAUGCAAUGCAAAAUCUAAAUGACCAUCUCACAGUUUACGUGUACAAGGUCUGAACUCUGGUGCAGGCAAAGAGUACAGUUGAAUAUAAAAUCAAAGAAUGGAAGAAGAAUUUGAGCCUGGGGCUAAUGAUCAAGGAGAAAAACAGGACUACAAGAAGUAUUAUCAGAUAACUACGGAACAUAAAAACAAGGCAAACUUCACUCCACUCUCAGAAAACAGCUCUCAAAGCCAAGUUGACCGAAUCAAAGGCCAAGCACCAGCCUUGGGUAGAGAUGAGUGCCUGGAGACCCAGCUCCUUCAAGGGCACCGUGAGACCGAGGACCAGAGCCAGGCUAAACGCAGCUGCUGAAGGUCCAGGCAUGGCUGGAGAAUGAAGCUCGGACCAACCACCACCUGCUCAUGAAUGGCAGGUAGAGAUUUCCACCCAAGUAACAGAAACUUUCCCAAGUACCAAGGAAUAAUCAUGAAAACCAUCACUGAUAAUACUCUCUCAACACAUUUUCUUAUCACUUCCCUGUUGUGGAUUUGUCCUUCUUAAUUGACUACUCGUUUUUUGAGCUAAUUUGAGAGCUUUGGGUUUUAUUCCCCUAGUUUUGACAUUGACUUUCAUCAGUGUCACAGGUGUGAGAUCUUUCUCGUUUCUGCCAUUCUUUUCCUCCCCUUCCUCUCUCAUCACAUUUUGCAUUUUUCCUCCCACUCUUCAUAGAGAGAUUUUGAGUAGCUGAUUGUGUGUGUGUGUGCACGCGCACGCGCGCGUCUGUGUGUGUGUGUUGUGUACUGGGGUCAUGAUGUAAAAUGAUGCCUUUGUUCUUGUGGCUUGCAGUGGGAAAAGUUAUGACCUUUGCAAUAGAGGUGUCUUUAUUUUUCCUUUCAGUUUUCACUUGAACUUAAUUGUAUGAAAUGAAUUGUGGGCCAGGCAUGGUGGGUCAUGCCUAUAAUCCCAGCACACUAGGAGGCCGAGGCAGGUGGAUCGCCUGAGGUCAGGAGCUCAAGACCAGCCUGGCCAACAUGGUGAAACCCUGUCUCUACUAAAAAUACAAAAAUUAGCUGGGGGUGGUAACAUGUGCUUAUAAUCCCAGCUACUUGGGAGGCUGAGACAGGAGAAUCACUUGAACCCUGGAGAUAGAGGUUGCAGUGAGCAGAGAUCACACCACUGCACUCCAGCCUGGGUGACAGAGCAAGACUCCAUCCCCCUGCCAAAAAAGAAAUGGAUUGCAAAUCUGUUUGCUAUCGUUCUUGAUGUCACUUCCUUCUCUAUGACUGAGAAUUCAUUGCCAUUCCUAGAAGGAUUCAAAUCCUUCAUUUUUUGAGCAAAUUUCACUAUAUACCACUUUCUUGCCUCUAUCAUUGCAAUGCCUCUCUACAUAGGACUAGCUGUAUUAUAACAAGGAUAACGAAGGCAACUACCCUUUAUGGAGCACUUACUAUGUAAACAUAAUUCCCACAGCAAUUCUGUAGAUGGCGCAUGAUCCCCAUUGCACAGAUAAGGAAACUGAAGGUCAGUAACGUUAACUGGUUCACCCAUGAUCACAAAGCUCAUCUGGGGCAGAAUGAGCCAAGAUCAAAUCCUUUGAGGUUCCAGAAUUUCAAGUGACAGUCUCAUUCCCAUUUCUCAUCCUCUCAACACUUUGUGAAGUGAGUACUCCUAUUAUCCCCAGUUUACAGACAAGAACACUAAAAUUUUCCUGAGUUAUACAGUAACUUGGGAAGAGUUAGGAUUCAAACCAAGGCAGUCUGGUUUCAGUUUUUGUGCUUUUAAUCAUAUGCUCUACUGACUUUAUUCCUUUACUCUUUUUUAGUGUUUCAUUGAAAAAUAAUAUACAUACCAAAAUCACAUAUAUGAUGAGUAAAACAGCUGGAUGAAUUUUCACAAACUGAACAUACUAGUGUAAAUCAGCUUCCAGCUCAAGAAAUAGAACACUGUCAGAAACCUCAAAGCCUCUCUCAUUUUCCCAUCCAGACAUUAACACCUCCUGAGGGCAACUGCUCUCCUAACCUCUAGCACCAUACAUACAGUUUUGAUUAUUUUCAACCAUACACAAAUUGAAUCAUGCAAUAUGUUCUUUUUUUUUUUCUUAAGCUGGCGUCUUGCUCUGUCACCUAAAUUGGAAUGCAGUGGUUCAAUCCCCACUCACUGUAACCUCCACCUCCAGGGUUAAAGCAAUUCUCCUGUCUUAGCCUCCCAAGUAGCUGGGAUUACAGGCAUGUGCUACCACGCCCAGCUAAUUUUUGUAUUUUUAGUAGAGAUGGGGUUUCACCAUAUUGGUCAGGCUGGUCUCAAACUCCUGAUCUCAGGUGAUCCACCUGCCUCAGCCUCCCAAAGUGCUGGGAUUACAGGCAUGAGCCACCCCGCCCAUCCCUGAAUCAUGCAGUAUGUUCUUUUUUGUGUCUGGCUUCUUUCCCUCAAUAUGUUCUGUGCGUGAUUCAUCCGUGCUACUGAUUGGUUGUAGAUCAUGUUGUGUCUUUAAUAAACACCUACAUUAGGUGUUAGAGAUACA